CUUUUACAGACAGUUGAAAGCACAGCACGUGAAUAUUUGGCGAAUGAUAAAUUUAGUACACUCACAGCAACAGUGAAUUUCAUUGAUCUUGCUGGAAGUGAACGUGCAUCUCAAUCAUUAUCUGCUGGCACAAGGUUGAAAGAAGGUGGUCAUAUAAACCGAAGUUUACUAACACUAGGAACUGUCAUUCGAAAGCUAAGG